AGAAAGCCACGGCUAACUACGUGCCAGCAGCCGCGGUAAUACGUAGGUGGCAAGCGUUGUCCGGAUUUAUUGGGCGUAAAGCGAGCGCAGGCGGUGAUGUAAGUCUGAUGUGAAAGCCCCCGGCUCAACCGGGGAGGGUCAUUGGAAACUGGAUCACUUGAGUGCAGAAGAGGAGAGUGGAAUUCCAUGUGUAGCGGUGAAAUGCGUAGAUAUAUGGAGGAACACCAGUGGCGAAGGCGGCUCUCUGGUCUGUGACUGACGCUGAGGCUCGAAAGCGUGGGUAGCAAACAGGAUUAGAUACCCUGGUAGUCCACGCCGUAAACGAUGAGUGCUAAGUGUUGGAGGGUUUCCGCCCUUCAGUGCUGCAGUUAACGCAUUAAGCACUCCGCCUGGGGAGUACGACCGCAAGGUUGAAACUCAAAGGAAUUGACGGGGGCCCGCACAAGCGGUGGAGCAUGUGGUUUAAUUCGAAGCAACGCGAAGAACCUUACCAGGUCUUGACAUCCUUUGACCGCGUCCGAGAGGACGUUUCCCCUUCGGGGGCAAAGUGACAGGUGGUGCAUGGUUGUCGUCAGCUCGUGUCGUGAGAUGUUGGGUUAAGUCCCGUAACGAGCGCAACCCUUAUUGUUAGUUGCCAGCAUUGAGUUGGGCACUCUAGCAAGACUGCCGGUGACAAACCGGAGGAAGGCGGGGAUGACGUCAAAUCAUCAUGCCCCUUAUGACCUGGGCUACACACGUGCUACAAUGGGAAGUACAACGAGCGCGCCAAGCCGCAAGGCCGAGCGAAUCUCUGAAAGCUUCUCUCAGUUCGGAUUGCAGGCUGCAACUCGCCUGCAUGAAGCCGGAAUCGCUAGUAAUCGCGGAUCAGCAUGCCGCGGUGAAUCCGUUCCCGGGCCUUGUACACACCGCCCGUCACACCACGAGAGUUUGUAACACCCAAAGUCGGUGCGGCAACCCUUCGGGGAGCCAGCCGCCUAAGGUGGGAUGAAUGAUUGGGGUGAAGUCGUAACAAGGUAGCCGUAUCGGAAGGUGCGGCUG
rnacentral:rRNA from 1 species